UACAGAGGGGGCAAGCGUUGUUCGGAAUUACUGGGCGUAAAGGGCGCGUAGGCGGCCGCCUAAGUCAGACGUGAAAUCCCUCGGCUCAACCGGGGAACUGCGUCUGAUACUGGGUGGCUUGAAUUCGGGAGAGGGAUGCGGAAUUCCUGGUGUAGCGGUGAAAUGCGCAGGAUAUCAGGAGGAACACCGAUGGCGAAGGCAGGUCUCGUGGGCCACUACUGACGCUGAGAAGCGAAAGCAUGGGGAGCGAACAGGAUUAGAAACCCGA
rnacentral:rRNA from 1 species